rnacentral:tRNA from 1 species
GGUUGUGGCUCAGUGGUAGAGCGCUUGCCUAGCAUGUGUGAGGUACUGGGUUCGAUCCCUAGCACCA